ACUCUACAACACCUGAGUCCAGCACUACAGAACAAAGUACUACAGCUGACCUCACAACACAAUUUACCAAAGUUACAUGGAAAUACAGUCAUUAACUGCUGAAAAUAAUUUGUUCUGAUGUUCAUUUCAUCGCACAUUUGUCACAAUCUCUCUCUCUCUCUCUCUCUCUUUCUCUCUCUCUCUUUCUCUCUCUCUCUCUCUCUCUCUCUCUCUCUCUCUCUCUCUCUCUCUCUCUCUCUCUCUCUCUCUCUCUCUUUCUUUCUUUCUCUCUCUCUCACUCUCUCACUCUGCUUAAGACUCUACAACACCUGAGUCCAGCACCACAGAACAAAUAACUACAGUUGAUCUCACAACACAAUUUACCACAGUUACCAGUAAAUACAAUCAAGUACUAGUAAAAAUAAUUUGUUCUGAAAUUCAGGUCUUCGCACGUUUGUCACAAUAUCUCUCUCUCCCUCGCUCCCUCGCUCCCUGUCUGUCUGUCUGUCUCUUUCUCUCUCUCUCUCUCUCUCUCUCUCUCUCUCUCUCUCUCUCUCUCUGCUUUAGACUCUACAACACCUGAGUCCAGCACCACAGAACAAAAUACUACAGCUGACCUCACAACACAACUGACCACAGUUACCAGCAAGUACUCUACAACACCUGAGUCCAGCACUACAGAACAAAAUACUACAGCUGACCUCACAACACAACUGACCACAGUUACCAACUCUACAACACCUCAGGCCAGCACUACAGAACAAAUAACUAUAGUUGAUAACACAACACAACUGACCACAGUUACCAGUAAGUAUCAUCAAGUUCUGGAGAACAAAAUGUGUGUUUCUUCCCUGCUGUAGACACUACAACAUCUGCACCCACAACAGGACAAAGUACUACAGCUGACCUCACAACACAACUGACCACAGUUACCAGUAAAUAAAAUCAAGUACUGGUGAAAAUACUUUGUUCGGAAUAUCAGUUCUUCAUAAAAUUGUCACAAUCUUUCUCUCUCUCUCUCUCUCUCUCUCUCUCUCUCUCUCUUUCUGCUUUAGACUCUACGACACCUGAGUCCAGCACUACAGAACAAAAUACUACAGCUGACCUCACAACACAACUGACCACAGUUACCAACUCUACAACACCUGAGUCCAGCACCACAGAACAAAUAACUACAGUUGAUCUCACAACACAACUGACCACAGUUACCAACUCUACAACACCUCAGGCCAGCACUACAGAACAAAUAACUGUAGUUGAUAACACAACACAACUGACCACAGUUACCAACUCUACAACACCUGAGGCCAGCACUACAGAACAAAGUACUACAGCUGACCUCACAACACAACUGACCACAGUUACCAACUCUACAACACCUGAGGCCAGCACUACAGAACAAAAUACUACAGCUGACCUCACAACACAACUGAACACAGUUACAAACUCUAGUGCACCUGCACCCACAACACAACAGAGUACUACAGCUGACCUCACAACACAACUGACCACAGUUACCAACUCUACCACACCUGAGGCCAGCACUACUGAACAAAUGACCAAAGUUACCAACUCUACAACAUCUGCACCCACAACAGGACAAAGUACUACAGCUGACCUCACAACACAACUGACCACAGUUACCAACUCUACUACACCUGCAGCUGGAACAAAACAGACCACUACAGCUGAUCCCACAACACAACCGACCACAGACACUAGUAAGUGUCAUCAAUUUCUGUAUAACAAAACCUGUCUAAAGCGGACUUCACCAAACAGACCUAACAAUCUAUGUUACUUCUCUGCUGUAGACUCUACUGCACCCACAAAUACAUGAACUACUGAAUCAACACCAGCAUUAAGUACAAAAACACCAACAACAAUUGCAAAACCUGCUGGUGUGUGUAAGAAUAGAGGAUGUUUCUGAACACUUCUAAAUGAAUCCUGACCACAUUCACCAGUAGGUGAACCAUAGUUCACCAAACAGAUCUAACAAUGUAACAGUCGGUCACUACUGUAUAUUACCGCUUUGUUGUAGCCUCUGCAACACCUACGCCCAGAACAGAACAGAGAACAACCAACACAGGUAGCACAGGUGUUGUUCUGUCAUCCACCUACAGUUUUGUACUAUAGCUUUCACCUACUGCUAUGCCAUGUGUCUCUCCCAACAGGAACUACAGCAACUACUGAACCAACACCAGCAACUACAAAAACGACACCACCACCACCAACAACAACAGCAAUACCACCACCAACACCAACAACAACAGUACCACCACCAUCACCAACAACUGCAAAACCAGCUGGUAUGUGUAAGAAUUGAAGAUGUUUCUGAACACUACUAAAUGAAUCCUGAUUAUGCCAUGAUUAUGAAAAAUCCUGAAUCAAUCAUGAAUAUUGAUGGGUGAGAAGGUUACAGAGGACACAACAAAACAUGUUAACCUCUCAGCAUUAGCGAUGGCAUUUUUGGGGGGUAUGAUCUUUGUGCCUCUGUUAAUUUCUCAGUCAUUAUUAUUCACGACUCAUUUACGAUUAUACAUAAUCAUGGUAGCAUCCACAUUAAUGUAGAAGUGUUCAGAGACAUCUUCUAAUCUUACUUACAAUAAAAGUGUCUCCAAAAUAACACAAUGCGUUAUUCACCAUUCAGUUCCUAUAGGGAAAAAUAUA
ensembl:lncRNA